CUGAGAGGAUGACCAGCCACACUGGAACUGAGACACGGUCCAGACUCCUACGGGAGGCAGCAGUGGGGAAUAUUGCACAAUGGGCGCAAGCCUGAUGCAGCCAUGCCGCGUGUAUGAAGAAGGCCUUCGGGUUGUAAAGUACUUUCAGCGGGGAGGAAGGGAGUAAAGUUAAUACCUUUGCUCAUUGACGUUACCCGCAGAAGAAGCACCGGCUAACUCCGUGCCAGCAGCCGCGGUAAUACGGAGGGUGCAAGCGUUAAUCGGAAUUACUGGGCGUAAAGCGCACGCAGGCGGUUUGUUAAGUCAGAUGUGAAAUCCCCGGGCUCAACCUGGGAACUGCAUCUGA
rnacentral:rRNA from 1 species